UACUGCUUUUUCUUUAUUGAGCAAAAAUGUAUUUUUGGUGGAAUAUGAAUUUUCUCUCUGCUUCUCACAGUUCAGUGAUUCCUGGCAACAUCAAAGAACUAAGACAACAAAACGGGAUGCUUUCCGAUCAUAAAGAUGCGGGUCCUUCAGUCUCUUUCAAGAAAUAAUAGUGUCGGUGACACCUCUCCGCCAAGAUUUUCAUCACACACGGCCCGGCGGCUGGGAAAGGCUGGACUACCUCCACACAGCCAUAGGUGCCAUUUUCUACCCAGCACGCACCUGGCGUUGGAAGAUGUUAAGAUUUCCUGUUAUUUCCUCACGAUUGCUAUAUCCCUGGUAUUUGGGGGAAAGGAACAAAGAAGUAACAAAAAUCUGAAAACUGAUCAUUGCUGGGAAGAGAUGACCGCUGAAAUAACAAAGGGCAUCCCUGAGAAACGCUGCCCCAGAGCAGCCCCCAAGCCACGUGACUUGGCAAUUUCACCAGUGAGAACAGAAUGAAGCAACUCAAAUCUCCACAGACGGUGCAGCGCCACCUCCCCUGCCCGCAGCAGGCUGGAACUGUAGGAAAUAAGCUGAACGCUGCUAAUGCUGAGAGCGCCAGCGCUCGAUGAGACUCCACGGGGCUCUCCAGCAGGCUCUUGGGAGGCCAAGCACACACUGGGAUGUGGACUUGUCACUCCAACUGGAUGAGCCGCCCCAGAGCCGGGCACUAAUUUACACGCGCAGGUCUGAGCCAGUGAGUUGCUGAAGAGGAAGUAGAAUGAAGAAAGGAAAUCAUGAAGAUAAAAGCCAUAGUUAAUGAAAUAGCAAACACACAUAAAUGAGAGAAUCGAGACCAACAGUAACUCUUGGAAAAAGAAGGAACCACAAGCAAGACUGGAAAAGCUAAUCAAGUAGACAGACAGAAGACAAGAAACAGUAGGAUGAAAGGGAGACCUGCUUGAAGACAUUUCAGACAUUCAAUAGGUGCCAUUUCAGAUUCAAAUGACAGAAUGUGGUCGGGAAGAAGCAGUGUACACGUUAAAGUUCCAUGAGGCUGUGCAGAUGCCACUUAAACACUGAUUCCUGAGGCGAGAGUUCUUCUGCCAGCUCACAUCAAAGCACUCAGUGAAGGUGAAGGCGAAUGACCUUUGGGCUCUGCAACCCUGCUUUCUUCCGCUCUCCUGCCUCCCUUUCUCCUCUUGCUAGAUGGCAAAAUUACAUGAAGAUCUUAAUUUGAAAUUCUUAAGGGGAACAAACCAAGAAGAAUAGAAGGGGCUCUUGUCCAAGAAUCUUAGGCCCCUCCAAUAUGAGACAUUCCUGAGACAGAAAAAUGUGUCUUCUCCGUGGGAACCAAGACAGUUUUGCUGUGUCCUCUACACACGAGAAUAAGCUAUCCAUCUGAUAGCCUCAUAAUAAGAUGUGCCCUUCUAGUCUCAGCACUCUUAGAAUGAAUUAUUUAACAUACUCCUAUUGUUCCCAUGUAAGUCCUGUGUAGAAUGCAGAGCUCAUUUGGGGGAAAAAAGGAAACACUGGAAGUAGCAAAAAAAAAAAAAAAUGCACCUGAGCUUAUGGUUCCUGCCAAUGGUAAAUUCACUGCUUGCACUUUUGCAUAAAAAUGUUUUUACUCCUUUCUUCCAUGGUGUGCACAAAGUAACGACUCUUCCCGGACACCUGCAGAGAGACCUAUGAGAAUGUCUGAUAAUUCUUACCAUGUUGGCCUCUGCAUCUUCUCUCCAACCUGCUCCUAAGCAGAGCACAUCUGCCACGAAAUAUCAGCAAAAGAAGGCUUCAUUAAAUAUUAAAUGCUGUUUUCUGCCUUUGCAAGCAUUUGCCCUAUACAAAAAACCCUCACAUGGUGAAAAUGUACAGAAGAGCAGCAAGAACUUGAUGAGCCGUCAGCAGCUCUGUGCAGGCGGCAGCCCAUCGGUGUGCGGCCAGUUUCUUACUCUUAGCCACCUGCUGCAGCCCCAAGUGGAACAGGGAUUUCAAUGAUGUCUCUAAAUGAUCAUUAAAGUGGAACCUUGAGACAGUACAUUUGUUCAGCAUCUUCAAGAUGCAUA